GGAAAGCUUUAAGUACUGAAUGUAAAGUUCUCUAUCAGCUAUCUGGUGAAUCUCUCCUAUGCACAGUGUUGUAAUAUAUCCAGGUGAGAGGUGGAGCCCAAGGAGUGUCAUACAGGCUGGUUAUUCGUUUCCAGAAAAAACAGACACUGAUAGUAGAACUGUGGAGAAGUAUCCCUGGAGAUGACCCACAAUCUCAAGAAGGCUGAAGAGGAGAGGAAGAGAAUGGAUAAAUCGAAACAAGUGUUUAGAUGAUCAAGGCCUUAUAAGCCAUACUAAGGUCCAAGACAUUGUGGAACAGAGACAAGCCAUUUCUACUGUGUCCUUAUUGAAUACCUGGCCCACAGUAUCCCUGACCAUAACAAAAUGCUACCCAUCAAAUAAGAGAACCCAUUGCAGAACCAGAAGGGACAUCAUCCAAGCUGUCUGAAAUCCCGGUUGGUACUCCAGGCUUCAACAACUGCAGCACAAUGAGAGACAGCAAAGAACAUCCUGGCCUUUGACAACCCCCUGUCUUCUAACAUACUGAGGUUAAUCAGACCGAGGACAAUUUGGAAGGGGCUCUCUGCCACAACUUGGGGAGUGGAGACAGGACGGGGGAGGAGCCAAGAUGACCGAAUAGGAACAGCUUCGGUCCACAGCUCCCAGCGUGAGCGAUGCAGAAGACGGGUGAUUUCUGCAUUUCCAACUGAGGGACAUGGAUGAAACUGGAAACCAUCAUUCUCAGCAAACUAUUGCAAGGACAGAAAACCGAACACCCCAUGUUCUCACUCAUAGGUGGGAAUUGAACAAUGAGAACACAUGGACACAGGAAGGGGAACAUCACACACCGGGGACUGUUGUGGGGUGUGGGGAGGGGGGAGGGAUAGCAUUAGGAUAUAUACCUAAUGCUAAGUGACGAGUUAAUGGGUACAGCACACCAACAUGGCACAUGUGUAUAUAUGUAACAAACCUGCAUGUUGUGCACAUGUACCCUAAAACUUAAAGUAUAAUAAUUAAAAAAAAAAAAAGACAGGACGAUAAUACACAUUUGGUGAUACAAUUAAGAAACAUGAUAUUGGAAAGUUGCUGACCAAGUGCCACCUAGCAUUCCUUCUCUUGUACUAGCCACAUGCCCACUCCUCAUGGCUACUGCUAGCCUCAUCUAAGAACUGGGGACCCAGCCUGGCAGGAUAAGUGUGGCUCCAUGCUUUAAGCCAGAGAAUUUAGGAGACUAUGAUCUGUUGCUGUGUCAAUCUGAAAGCUGAGGGAUCUGAAGGGUACGUGGUACCCAUUCUCUGACUCUCACUCCCAAAAGUCCUUUUCUCCCUGGGUCAACAUACGGUUGGUGCCCAAGGCCCUUCCUAGGAAUUGGAAGCCAACAGUGACACAAAGCACUUAGGAGGCACACAACCACAAAUGUGUGAGGUUUGCCUUCCCAUAUUUUCUGGACCCAUGUUCAAGCCUGGAACUCUCUAGUUCAUAAAGGGUUUUACUCUUGCAGGAGUCAGCAAACUAUGGCCUGUGGGUGGAGGGCCAGAUGGGGCCAUGCUCAUUCAUUUACAUACUGUCUAAUGGUUGCUCAAAAAUCACAGAGUUGAGUAACUAAGACAGACUGGAAGGCCCACACAGGCAAAAAAUGUACUAUCCGGACAUCCACAUAAACAGUUUGCAGGCCACUGAUUUAGAGUAAGACCAGUUCUCCUGGGGGCAAUGGAUUGUCUUUCUUUGCUUUCAGCCUGACCAAUGCCCGUGGGUAGGGAUGGAGAGGGAGCCCAUCUCUCUAGUUGAUUCUGAUGAGAAGAACCAGGGUGACCCACCUGGAAUGUGAGCCUCUGAUCUUCCAGGCAUCUGGCAUGCCCAUUUCUUCCACAGAGCAGGAUAGAAGCUCCUCCCAGCAGGGGGUCUUGACUAUUUGAGACCACUGUAAAAGAAAAGUAAGAACAAGUGAUUCACGUUUGUGUUUCCUGUAAAAAGAACAUGGUUGUCAGUGCUAUUAACCUGGUUACCACUGACUUUGACGCAGAUACAGCCGGUUCAUGUUUCAGAACUUCAUGAAACAGGCCUGUGCCUUCAAUCAGAGGCAGCCCAAAAGACAAAAUUGCCAACACUUUCUAUUUGCAGUGGCCCAGGAAUUAUCAAAUAACCUUAGUUCCUAUUAAACUCCUGCCUAUUUACCAUUGCCUAAACCUGGAGGCAAAAUCUAAAUCCAAACCAUCACAGGUAAUCUCCAAUCUCACAUACUUUUCCAAAAGAUUCAUGUGUUAGGAAAGGAUGAUUGAUGGCUCAAAAGUCACCAG
rnacentral:lncRNA from 1 species